AGUUUCUAUUCUCGGCUUUGGGCUUUUGGAUGACCCAUCUUUGCCUCUUGGACCUAUGCCGCACCUAACCCUAACCCUAGCCCACUUAAUCAGCCACACCUAGGCCUUGUUCACAUGAAAAAAAUCUGAUUACUUACCCUAAGCCCAUGCCGCACCUAAUGUUCUAGAAACCCUAGUUUUUGGUGGAUUUCCUAAUCCUAGCC
rnacentral:lncRNA from 1 species